CGCCUGUAGAGCUCUACCCGGCGCGGGCAGCUUUGCGUUCACCUGACCGCUGGCACAGCAACCUGGGCGCCCCCAGCCUGCGGCGCGACCUCCCCCCGACUUGCUUCUUCGUGAUGUGCUGCUUUGCUUUUGUUUCCCCUAGACCGCGGGAGCGGCGGGGGCUGGACUCUCCGCGCCGGCGAGACUCCCGGCCCAGACGCUUGUGCUCUCGCGACCGGCGUUUGCAAAGUUGGUAUUUAACCAAAGGCAAAUGCCUACCUGGGGGUCCAGAAGAGGGGGGAUCAAAGGGGCUCCUGAUGAUUCACAGCCUCCCAUUCUUCACGUUUUCUUUGACAAGUGUGCCCCCCUGUCUCUGGACUGUCAGUUCCACCAGCGCACAUGUCCUUGUCACCGCUAUUUUGUUCAUCAGUGACGUGCCAGAGUUAGCAUAUGCCAGGCCCGAACAGACCCGGCUUCCAGGACCAAGCUGGCCUGAGCCGCCAGCGUCCCUUGCUUGGACCAGAGGGUAGCCAAAGCCUGAACAGGACAGGGCCAUCACCGAAGAGGUUCCUGAGGGAGGUACAAAAGGGAGUGCAAAACAGGAGAGGAGCGUUCAGAACGUUCUUCGCAAUCCGACACAGCUUCGGCAUCCCAGCGCGGGAUCCGCGGAACAAGGGAGAGCUGGAGGAGGGCUUGGUUUUCUCCCUACUGUUACCAGAGUGCCUAGAACAGUUCCUGGCACAGAAUGGAACUCCAGAAAUAUUUUCUGGAUAAAGGAGAGGAUGGAUGGAAAUGAAGAAUCUUGAGAAGUGAAUCUGGAAGGCCUUAACUGAUGGAUUCUCUCCUGAAGCCGCCUGUCAGCAGGUCUGUACUGAGGACGGGCAUGCCCAAAAUGGCACCGCAUACUGUGACUGAGCGCACGUUCAAUUUGGAAACACGACUAAGUGUUCCUCAUGCCAGCAGGUAGGGUGUGGAACGCCAGCUGUGGGGGUUUGGCAUGGGGGUGGGGAAGGAAUGUGGUGUUAACAC